rnacentral:rRNA from 1 species
CAAUAGCGUAUAUUUAAGUUGUUGCAGUUAAAAAGCUCGUAGUCGGAUUUUGGCUGAGAACGAACGGUCCGCCGUUAGGUGUGCACUGUUUGGUCUCAGCUUCCUGGUGAGGAGGUGUGCUUCACAGCCACUUAGUCACCGUGGUUACUUUGAAAAAAUUAGAGUGUUCAAAGCGGGCUUACGCUUGAAUAUAUUAGCAUGGAAUAACACCAUAGGACUCCUGUCCUAUUUCGUUGGUCUCGGGACGGGAGUAAUGAUUAAGAGGAACAGUUGGGGGCAUUCGUAUUUCAUUGUCAGAGGUGAAAUUCUUGGAUUUAUGAAAGACGAACUUCUGCGAAAGCAUUUGCCAAGGAUGUUUUCAUUG